GACGAACGCUGGCGGCGUGCUUAACACAUGCAAGUCGAACGGAAAGGCCCUGCUUUUGUGGGGUGCUCGAGUGGCGAACGGGUGAGUAACACGUGAGUAACCUGCCCUUGACUUUGGGAUAACUUCAGGAAACUGGGGCUAAUACCGGAUAGGAGCUCCUGCUGCAUGGUGGGGGUUGGAAAGUUUCGGCGGUUGGGGAUGGACUCGCGGCUUAUCAGCUUGUUGGUGGGGUAGUGGCUUACCAAGGCUUUGACGGGUAGCCGGCCUGAGAGGGUGACCGGCCACAUUGGGACGGAGAUACGGCCCAGACUCCUACGGGAGGCAGCAGUGGGGAAUAUUGCACAAUGGGCGGAAGCCUGAUGCAGCAACGCCGCGUGCGGGAUGACGGCCUUCGGGUUGUAAACCGCUUUCGCCUGUGACGAAGCGUGUGUGACGGUAAUGGGUAAAGAAGCACCGGCUAACUACGUG
rnacentral:rRNA from 1 species